GCCCGAUUGGCUCAAUGGUAGAGCGUCUCCCUCCUAUCGAAAGGAGAAAUCCCAAUGAUCAGUAUUUAGGAGAAGGUUGCGGGUUCGAUUCCCGUGUCGGGUU